CAUAGAGAUCCUAUUAAAUUACUAGAGUUAAUUAAACCCUCAAAAAUUCCAGAAUGGAUUGUGAUUUGAGGGAAUACAGCCAUGACGGGUAGACUUUUCGUCGCAGCGAUUAUACUUUAUAUUGACCACGCAAGUGGCCGCUUUAACAAUGAAAAUAAAUGUCUUCAAAAAUGGAAGGCAGUCGGGAGGAGCUCCAUCUAAUCCAGACGGUCUCUGCGUCCAUGAAUCCACCACAGACUACCCAUAAGAUCCAGAUGACCACUAGCAGUGAAACCAGUAUGGCACUUGCUGCUCCCACUGCUACCCACAGCUUCCAGCCUAGAAGUAAACCCUCAUUGGAGUGGGUAGACCGAGUUACUGGUUGGAGGGAGAUCAAGGGGAAAAUGUCAUUGAUUUCUUCAAAGAGACACUUUUAUUUAUUUUGUAAACAGUUAUAAAAAGUAUGGAAAUCAA